CGAUAUUUUGCCAUAUAUUCUUGAGAGAAUAUACAAAAGGUCGAUCUUAUUGUUCUGUAAUAAUAUAAUUAUUUUUUAAGCUAAGUCAUUUCUCUAAUUAUUUUGGACGGAGUUGACUGUGCAUCCAAAGCCCCAGAACCCCUUAAGAGUAAAUUCAGUACAGUAAUAAUACUGCGACACUGACACAGUGCCUCUUAAUGAACCUGUCAGCUCAGUUUUAAUCACAAACAAUUACGCCCUCCGUCUUCGUCAAACAGCGCCGCUUUGAUUGCUUGUGCUGUUUUACAGCCUUCCGCCGGCGCCCGGCGUUCCAGUAACUGCAGCUCUCGUAUUAAAUGUCAUCUUCUGUACUGAACGAAACGCCGAUGUUUGCCUCAUCUUACAGGAAAGCAGGACUAAUUAUGCUCAUAUGCCAGAUGCUUGAUAUGUUAACACAAUGCUAGCAAGACUUUUGUUAUAGAUUAGUGGGGCGCUCGGGGCGGACGGGAUGGUUUAAUGCUGCCAUAUGGUCAGAAGCAGUAAAAUGAAUAUAACGUUUUGGGGUAGAAUUUUCAGUACAGAGAUCUCCUCAACGUGGCAUCUGGUGUACUAACGUCCUGUAGAGUUUCAAUCCUAUCCAGCACCUUGAUCUUGUAUUUGGAUGUCUCUGAAGCUGUUCAUUAGUUGCUGCAGCUGUGUGAAAUGAUGAGUGACGUUAGAUUUUAUAGGUAGGGAAUAUUUGAGGAGUAGCUACCCGGGCUAAAUAUUUUCUUGCUGAUCCAAAUCUUUCAGUGGGUCAGCUGGUGUGUCUUAGUUUAAUGCUGGAUUUUCACAUGUUCUCCUCAGGUCCAUGUGGCCUUCCAUAUCAGGUUCUCCAGUUUCUUCUUACCUCCUUGAAAUAACCAGGACAAAGAGACUAGCUGUCUGAAGGAGAUGUCAGAGAUAGUCACUGGAACCUUCUUAGAGAAACGCGAUGACCACAGAUGACCCAGCGGACAUUGGGAUAAUCCUGGAAGGCGUGGAGGCGCUCAGAGAGUUAUCUAGUGUACCCUUUGCAGUGGC
ensembl:lncRNA